CUACGGGGAUGAUCUCAAAAGUUGAACUCUCUCUUUCUGAUGAAUUAGUGGAGAAAACAUAAAAAUUCUGAGUAGC